GGAUGUGAAACAGGGGGACAUCUGUCACCCCAUUGAUUGCCAGCGUUGAUUUGGCUGACAUGGCCGGUGAGGCAGAUGUCCUCUUCCUCCCUCACCUGUCCAUGUGGGUUCCUUCCUCCCAAAGCUGCUUGCUCAGUGGAAGAGGACGACUACCCCCGAUAGAGGAGGCCCAUUUCCUCAGUCAAGUAGCUGUGCUCCCCUGCUAGAAUCUCCAAACAAGCUCACAUAGAAAAGGCACCAGAGUCACCAUCACAGAGCCAUGCUGUACAACUAUCCUCUUAGAU
rnacentral:snRNA from 1 species